CAGGAAAUACCAUGAGUUGAUUCCUGUUAAAUAACAGCUUGAAAUAAAUUUAAAGAAUAA
rnacentral:ncRNA from 1 species